rnacentral:rRNA from 69 species
AAUGCGUAGAGAUCAGGAAGAACACCGGUGGCGAAGGCGCUCUGCUGGGCUAUAACUGACACUGAGGGACGAAAGCUAGGGGAGCGAAUGGGAUUAGAUACCCCAGUAGUCCUAGCGGUAAACGAUGGAAACUAGGUGUGGCCUGUAUCGACCCGGGCCGUGCCGAAGCAAACGCGUUAAGUUUCCCGCCUGGGGAGUACGCACGCAAGUGUGAAACUCAAAGGAAUUGACGGGGGCCCGCACAAGCGGUGGAGUAUGUGGUUUAAUUCGAUGCAACGCGAAGAACCUUACCAGGACUUGA